rnacentral:rRNA from 1 species
GACGAACGCUGGCGGCGUGCUUAACACAUGCAAGUCGAACGAAGAGCGAUGGAAGCUUGCUUCUAUCACUCUUAGUGGCGAACGGGUGAGUAACGCGUAAUCAACCUGCCCUUCAGAGGGGGACAACAGUUGGAAACGACUGCUAAUACCGCAUACGAUCUAAUCUCGGCAUCGAGGAUAGAUGAAAGGUGGCCUCUACAUGUAAGCUAUCACUGAAGGAGGGGAUUGCGUCUGAUUAGCUAGUUGGAGGGGUAACGGCCCACCAAGGCGAUGAUCAGUAGCCGGUCUGAGAGGAUGAACGGCCACAUUGGGACUGAGACACGGCCCAGACUCCUACGGGAGGCAGCAGUGGGGAAUCUUCCGCAAUGGACGAAAGUCUGACGGAGCAACGCCGCGUGAGUGAUGACGGCCUUCGGGUUGUAAAGCUCUGUUAAUCGGGACGAAAGGCCUUCUUGCGAAUAGUGAGAAGGAUUGACGGCACCGGAAUAGAAAGCCACGGCUAACUACGU